rnacentral:lncRNA from 1 species
CGCCGCGCCCGCUCCGGGGCGGGCUCCGGCAGCGGGGGAGCAGCGGCGCCGCUUCGCCCCGAGCAGCCCGAGCAGGAUCCCCGGGACCCCCCCGGUUCCCCCGGGCCUCCUCCCCGUGCCGGAGCCCCGGCCGGAGCGGGAGGAUGUCGGGCAGCACGGCGAGGAAGGUGCAGCCCUUCACCAUCAGCACCAAGCUGUCCCUGCCCAAGUGCGCCGCCGAGUUCGCAGCCGACGCCUGCCCCGGCAUCGCCCUGGCCUCGGCGCUGGACAACCACCGGGGCCUCCGGAGAGACCUCAACCAGCGCAUCUCCCUCUACCUGGCCCAGGCCAGGGGGUCGUCCUCGGGGCCCCCCGGCCAGCCCCGCCGCGGGGAGGAAGGCGGCGAGGAGGAGAGGCUGAGCCGGGGCUCCCUGGCGCGCUCCAUCAAGAAGAUCACGCUCUCCAACUGGCACGGGGAGGCUGGCUCCGGGGAUGCAGGGGGGUCCGGGGAGCCCGGGGGGGCCGGAGGGGAGAGGAACCACAACAACAACAACAGCAGGACCGGGAAGGCUCAGUUCAAGGUCUAUCUCAGGAAGGAUGUGGACGGGGAGGACGACAGGCAGGAGGCUGCGAGCCCCCACGCCAGCGGGUUCUGCUCCCCGCUGGACAGAGGGUCCCCCUUGGAGGCGCUGGCACCCCAUAAAGACAGCCCCGGGAGCAAGGAGCCGGCGGCCCCCAGGAGCGUGGGGCGAAGCGUGCCGGGGGCACCCACCCUCCCGGACCCCAGCCCCCUGCUCGCCCAGUUCAACCGGGAGAUGCUGCAGGCGGAGGGCUGGGUGCGAGGCAAGCUGCGGGACCUGAAGGACGGCUGCGAGCUGCAGGGCUGGGAGCAGGUGGCGCAGGCCCUGCAGAGGGAGAUGAAGGACUUCGACAACACCCUCAUCAAGCUCAGCCAGAUGGGCGAGCAGCUGGCGGGCAGGCCCAGCCCCGGCGGCGAGGCGGUGCGGAGGCAGCUGCAGGCGCUGCGGGAGCAGUGGCAGCUCCUGAAGCAGACGGCCGCCAGCCAGAGCAGGGCCCUGGGGGGGCUGCGCAGCCUGCAGGACUUCAGCAGGAAGGCGGAGAGCCUGGAGGCGUGGAUCCGCAGCAAGGAGGAGAAGCCCUGCCUGGCGGCACUCCUGCAGGAAAGCCCGGAGAAGAUCCAGCUCACCCGCCGCAUCCUCGACUUGAAGCAGGAGGAGCAGCACUUCCAGAGCCUGCACGAGGAGCUCAACAGCCUGGCCCAGAAGCUGGAGAAGCAAGGCAAAAGCGAGAGCCGGAGCGUGUCUCGCCCGGCGCAAGCACCUCAACAAAAUUGGAGGAGCGUCUGCGGCGUGGGGAAGCACGGGGAGGCCGAGGCCAGCCGGGAUCGGGAUGUCAGGGACAUAGCCAGCCAGGUGAUGAUGCUGGAUGUGACCGUGUCGCAGCUCCUCAGCCUGCAGCCCAGCCUGGCGGCCCGAGUCACCCCCAAGCACCGGGACGUGAAGGAGAGCUGGGCCCGGCUCCAGCAGGCGCUGAGGACGGACAAGGCUCCGGCAGUGGCUGUGGGAAGCGGUUUCCCAGGGGGGGAAGCUGCGGCUGCGAGCGCUGAGCCCCGCGGAGACGGCAGCAGCCAGGAGCUGGUGGGAAAGGAGGCAGGAGACAAGCAGAAGAGAGAUCCCGGCGGCAGCACGGUGCCGAGGGACAUGUCGAGGAGGCUGGUGGAGCACGUGCGAGGCGAGGAGAGCGGCCCUGGCUGUCCGGCAGCGGGAGGGGACAGCAGGAGGAGGAGACGGGGUCCCGGAGAGGUGGAGGCUGAGAGGGGCACGUGGCCCCCCGAGGCCCUGGCGCAGGAUGUCGGCCGGGUGCCAAGCACGGAGGGCGCGGGGAGCCCCCAGGUGGAGGCCAUGCUGCGGGAGCUGGGCGAGCUGUGGGAGGACCUGCAGAGGAAGCACCAGGAGAACGGUGCCGUGCUGAGGGAAAUCGAUAAGGCGCUGAGGCUGGUGGGGGAGCUGGACCGCGCCGAGCGGUGGCUGCAAGCCGUGGCGGGGUCGCUCUCGGAGCCAGCAGCCAUGAGGAGCCCCGCGGAGCUGCGCAGGGACCUGGAGGGGACAGGGCCAGCUGGAGAGGCAGCUCCUGCUGUGCGGCAGCAAGCUCCAGGCGCUGCGGGAGGAGGCGGCGGGCGGGAUGCCCGCGGAGCGCGAGGGAGCGAGGAAGAUGCAGAGGAAGGUGGAGAUGGUGGAGGAGAAGUUGGCACAGGUGCAGGCAGCCCUGCGGCGCCGAGCCGCCGACCUGCGCGACUCCCUGGUGCUGUCCGAGUUCCUGCAGAACCUGCAGGAGGAGGAGGAGCGGAGCCGGCAGGGAGCCAGGGAGCCAGGGAGCGGGCACCGUGGCUCGCAGGGGGCUUUUCCCCUGCUCUCGGCCAAGGGCUGAGGACGGCGAGGAGGCGAGCAGCCCCUUGGGAGAGCUGCAGGAGGCCGUGGAGAUGCUGA